rnacentral:rRNA from 1 species
AUUGAACGCUGGCGGCAGGCUUAACACAUGCAAGUCGAGCGGAGCGGCGGACGGGUGAGUAAUGCUUAGGAAUCUGCCUAUUAGUUGGGGACAACAUCUCGAAAGGGAUGCUAAUACCGCAUACUACUAGAUGAGCCUAAGUCGGAUUAGCUAGCGUGUGGGGUAAAGGGCUACCAAGGCCACGAUCUGUAGAGUGUCUGAGAUGAUGACCCGCCACUGUUAGACCUAGACACGGCCCAGACUCCAACGGAAGGGAGCAGUGGGGAAUGUUGGACAAUGGGGGGAACCCUGAUCCAGCCAUGCAACGUGUGUGAAGAAGGCGUUAUGGUUGUAAAGCACUUUACGCGAGGGGACGUUACUCGCAAAAUAGGCACCGGCUAACUCUGUGCGAGGAGCCGCGGUGAUUC